rnacentral:rRNA from 1 species
CAGCCGCCACGGGAAUACGUAGGUGGCAAGCGUUGUCCGGAAUUAUUGGGCGUAAAGCGCGCGCAGGCGGAUCAGUUAGUCUGUCUUAAAAGUUCGGGGCUUAACCCCGUGAUGGGAUGGAAACUGCUGAUCUAGAGUAUCGGAGAGGAAAGUGGAAUUCCUAGUGUAGCGGUGAAAUGCGUAGAUAUUAGGAAGAACACCAGUGGCGAAGGCGACUUUCUGGACGAAAACUGACGCUGAGGCGCGAAAGCCAGGGGAGCGAACGGGAUUAGAUACCCCAGUAGUCCCUGUCUCUUAUACC